rnacentral:rRNA from 1 species
GAUGAACGCUGGCGGCGUGCUUAACACAUGCAAGUCGAACGAAGCAUUUAAGACAGAUUACUUCGGUUUGAAGUCUUUUAUGACUGAGUGGCGGACGGGUGAGUAACGCGUGGGUAACCUGCCUCAUACAGGGGGAUAGCAGCUGGAAACGGCUGGUAAUACCGCAUAAGCGCACAGUACCACAUGGUACAGUGUGAAAAACUCCGGUGGUAUGAGAUGGACCCGCGUCUGAUUCGCUUGUUGGCGGGGUAACGGCCCACCAAGGCGACGAUCAGUAGCCGACCUGAGAGGGUGACCGGCCACAUUGGGACUGAGACACGGCCCAGACUCCUACGGGAGGCAGCAGUGGGGAAUAUUGCACAAUGGAGGAAACUCUGAUGCAGCGACGCCGCGGGAGUGAAGAAGUAGUUCGCUAUGUAAAGCUCUAUCAGCAGGGAAGAUAGUGACGGUACCUGACUAAGAAGCUCCGGCUAAAUACGUG